rnacentral:lncRNA from 1 species
UCUCUCUCUCUCUCUCUCUCUCUCUCUCUCUCUCUCUCGCUCUCUCUCUCUCUCGCUCGCUCGCUCUCUUUCUCUCUCCCCGCCCAGAGUUUUCUCUGUCGCGUAGGGUGUUGUGUUAAUUUUGGCGGUCUCAGAUGUCUCAGGUACCUGGGUCGGAGUCCUUUCUGUUGUUAUCUACUGGAUUCCCUUGAUUCAAGGCCUAGGGAGUUCCUGCCCUACACUGGCCCUCGCGAAAAUAUUUGUCUUUGAGGACGUCUGGGGCUGCGACCGCGGAAUAGAAAAAAAUAGUAGCACCUGCUGCAGAUGCUAGUGUGCCAUCACAAUAAAUCCUCCUGUGCUGACUUUCAGGCAGAAGACACAGCUGUGAGCAGAGCUGGUCAUGUGUCAUCUACUGCUUUUUAAGCAGAUCCUCGUGUGUAUCCAUUGUCUGAGCUUUAAGUAGAAGCUUUUUUAACCUACAUAGUUUUUCACUGAAUCUGUUAGUUUCAGCAUGCUGUUUGUGUUGUUUUCAGUAGUGCAAUUCCUGAUAUCUAUCAAGUAAACACCAUUAAGGAUUGAGCUCACUUCA